UAAUCUCGACCCUUGAUGAGGGGGGGAGAGAUUGGCGCAGUUUUUGCGAAUAUUCCAGUCUCGAGAAAAAAGACGGUUCAGAACCUAUCAAGCAAGAGGCGUUUGUGUCGCGUCAGAUGUGGACAACAGUCCAGUAACAGACGGUUGAUGACGAGAAAUCCUUCUAAUAACGAUAUGGCAUCUAAAAUCAAACAAAUAUGGAGGAUAACAAGCUUCUAUAAAGAGCAAAGAGAAAUUCAAAGUUAAAGAAGAGAUCCUUUUUGGAAGAAUAUUUGACAAAAGAUUUAUAUUUCAUAUUUAUGAACUAUUUUAUCUUAUUCAUCAAGGUUUUUCUAACGGAACUUGAAUAAGACAUUUUAAAGACAUUUCAUGAAGAAACAUUAAUCGGAAGGAACAUUAUCUAUCUACUAUAGAUAAACAAUUUAGGACUGAAACAUUUGUCCACAUAUACAUAUACAUUUUUUGAUUAUCCAAUUAUUAUGAUAUUAAUGUUCACAUGAAGUUA